rnacentral:rRNA from 1 species
GGCUAAAACACACUGCCGAAGCUUUGGAAUUGAAUUAAUUCAAUUGGUAGAGGAGCAUUCUUAAAGGGAUGAAGCAGUACCGUAAGGAGCUGUGGACUUUUAAGAAGAGAGAAUGCCGGAAUGAGUAGCGAGAGGAAGGUGGGAAUCCUUCCGGCCGAAUAUCUAAGGUUUCCAGAGUAAAGCUGAUCUGCUCUGGGUAAGUCGGGGCCUAAGGCGAGGUCGAAAGACGUAGUCGAUGGAUAACAGGUUGAAAUUCCUGUACUAUCCUGUAACAGAACUGUGGGGACACAGGCAGAGAGCGUGAGCCGGGAAUGGAAAGACCGGUACAAGCGAGGUAAGAGUUCAGUUGGCAAAUCCGCUGAACAAUCUGAAGACGUGAUGUGGACUGAAAAUAAGUAGGGAAGCACGUGAGCUGACUGUCAAGAAAAGCCGCUAUUGUUUGCAGGAUACCCGUACCGUAAACCGACACAGGUGGAUGAGGAGAGAAUCCUAAGGCCGACGGGAGAAGCAUUGUUAAGGAACUCGGCAAAAUGACUCCGUAACUUCGGGAGAAGGAGUGCCAGUAAGAUGGCCGCAGAGAAUUGGCCCAAGCAACUGUUUAGCAAAAACACAGGUCUAUGCAAAACCGAAAGGUGAGGUAUAUGGGCUGACGCCUGCCCGGUGCUGGAAGGUUAAGGGGAGAGGUUAGCGCAAGCGAAGCUUUGAACUUAAGCCCCAGUAAACGGCGGCCGUAACAAUAACGGUCCUAAGGUAGCGAAAUUCCUUGUCGGGUAAGUUCCGACCCGCACGAAAGGCGUAAUGAUUUGGGCACUGUCUCAACAAUGCACCCGGUGAAAUUGAAAUACCAGUGAAGAUGCUGGUUACCUGCGCCAGGACGGAAAGACCCCAUGGAGCUUUACUCCAGCUUGAUACUGGGAUUCGGUAUUGCAUGUACAGGAUAGGUGGGAGGCUAGGAAAUGGUAACGCCAGUUGCCAUGGAGCCAAUGUUGGGAUACCACCCUUGCAGUACUGGGUUUCUAACCAGCAGCCGUGAUCCGGCUGGGGGACAAUGUCAGGUGGGGAGUUUGACUGGGGCGGUCGCCUCCGAAAGGGUAUCGGAGGCGCUCAAAGGUUCCCUCAGAAUGGUUGGAAACCAUUCGAAGAGUGCAAAGGCAGAAGGGAGCUUGACUGCGACACCGACGGGUGGAGCAGGUACGAAAGUAGGACUUAGUGAUCCGGUGGUAUAAAGUGGGAUUGCCAUCGCUCAACGGAUAAAAGCUACCCUGGGAUAACAGGCUUAUCACUCCCAAGAGUUCACAUCGACGGAGUGGUUUGGCACCUCGAUGUCGGCUCAUCGCAUCCUGGGGCUGAAGUAGGUCCCAAGGGUUGGGCUGUUCGCCCAUUAAAGCGGUACGCGAGCUGGGUUCAGAACGUCGUGAGACAGUUCGGUCCCUAUCCGGCGUGGGCGUAAGAUAUUUGAGAGGAGCUGUCCUUAGUACU